ACAAUUUUCCAAACUUAAUCAAUUUAAUAUUGGCCCAAUGCAAUGGAGCUGAAGAUUUAAAAAACUAGAUAUUUUCCUAAGAGUCUAGAGAGUUCCUCAUUAUUGCUUCUAAUUAAUGCCCAGUCAAAGACAGCCGAACCUUGUCUAUUCAUCUGAAAAUCUAAUUACUUUUCUUUGCUUUUGACGGUUCAGUUUUAUGGAAAGGUGUUCUUCAAAACUGAUGCCUCUGCUCAUUUGCUUUCCUCUUAUGUAUUUCUUUUUCAUUUCCUCCUCAGUCUGGUUCCUUUCUCUGGUUGAUUUGUUGUUGUUUCUCAGCAUAUUCUGGGACCGUCAUUUCUAGGUAUAACUCUUCUUUCCUUUUUAACGAUUCUGUUGCCACUAUAUGCGCGAGAGCGUUUUUCGAUCUUGGUGUAAACUUGAACAUGACACUCCUAGAUCUGUUUAGUAUCUGCUUGAUAUCGUGAAUAUAUGCUCCAAUACAUGAUCGAUCUUGAUUUUCUGACAAACAUUUCUUUAUUGUUGUGAGGGAAUCUCCUUCUAUGAUAAUCAUCGGCCAUUCUUGUUCUACUCCUAUUUGAACAGCUUUUCGACACGCGAUUGCUUCAGCAACAUAGGCUGACGUUACAUCGUGAUGAAUCUCUGAGCAGGUGAGUAAAACGAUUCCUUCAAUGUUUCUAGCUACAACUCCUGAGGCAGAUUGUUGAUGAGUCGAAUCAUAGGCACCAUCAAAAUUAAUUUUGACGAACUCGCUAGGUGGCUGAGUCCAUCUUUUAUGUUCCUAUUCUCUUACUGACUUUGCCUUUUCAAGACCAUAAAGUUCAGCAAGGUAGUUAUUGAUGAAAUUCACUGUUUCUUGCCCUGUGCUGGUUUUUUUCUCAUGUACUCUUUUGUUUUUUUCACCCCAGAUAGCCCGAAGGCCACAACAGAAGAGUCUGUUUUGGUACGUAUUAAGCUAACCAGAGGUCCAGGUAAUCCAUUGUAUAAAAUCCAUGUCUGGAUUCUUGAGAAUAUUCUGAAGUUUUAAUAGUGCCCAAACUUCCAUUGUGACAGGGCACAUUCUGAAGAUAUGAUCGGUUGUUUCAUUCCUUUCUCCACAUCGGGGACAGUCUGUGUUACUAAUUAGUUUCCGAUGUUGCAUAUUCACCUUCGUAGGCAGAUAGUUCCAGGCAAUUCUCCAUAUUGUAAUCUUUAUUUUGGUCGGUAAAUUUAGUCGCCAUAAUUUUUUGUAAAAAUCCCCAUAGUUGGUUUGUAAAGCAUAAGCUCUAGGAAAUUCAUCAAAAAUUUGUAAUAGUUUAUACGCGCUGCGUACCGAGAAUUCCCCCGAAUAAUCACCUCCCCACACAAACAGAUCGUCAUGAGGUGUGCAUGCUAAAGGUAUCCGAAGAAUUUUUUCAGCAUCGACCGUUGAAAAGGUAUUGUUGAUGAGUUCUCUGUUCCAUAUUCGCGCAUUACUGUCGAUUAACUCAUUAACUUUUGCAUCUUGCAUAGUAUUAACAACCGAAGAUACUUUAAAAUUAAUAGCGUCUGGAAUACACGCAUCAUCAUUAAUGGAAAUAUUUGAACCUGUACCAACCCUCAGCACAUACCUUUUCCUAAAAUUCCCCUUGCUGCCCAUAUGCUUUUCCAGAUGUAGGAGCUAGUUUUUCCCAAUCGAGAAUUUAAAAAGUGCUCAUUCGAAAAAUAUUUUGUAUUAAAAACUUGUGUAACCAGUGAAUCUUGAUUAUUAAUAAUCCAUCCUUGCUUGGCUAAUAAUGAGAUUAAAUUGCAACAUAUUCUUGAACCCCAGACCCCCUUCUUCUUUUGAUCGGCACAUAUAUUUCCAUUGACACCAAUGUAUCCCUUUUCUACCAUUCCCUUUUUGCCACCAGAAUUUUGCAAAAAUAUUUUUCAACUCUUCACAAAAAGAUUUUGGUAAGAGAAAACAUGACAUAGCAUAUGCUGGAAUUGCUUGAAGCACUGACUUGAUAAAAACCUCCUUACCCUAUUGUGACAAUAAUCUUGUGCUCCAACCAUCGAUUUUGAAUUUAAUUUUAUCCUUUAUAUUUGAAAAGCUUCUUUCUUUCGUUUGCCUACCACAUUAGGGAGUCCAAGAUAUUUUUCCAGAUUUGUGGAGCAUCUCACCCCUAAUACUGUUGAUACCUCCGCUUUGUCUCUUUCCGUUGUAUUUGAGUUGUAGAAAAUUGUUGACUUACUGAAAUUCAUACACUGUCUUGAACACUGUUCGUACUAUUUCAAGAUACCUUUUAAGAUUCGUGCUCCUCUAUUUGUCGCUUGGCCAAACAUUAUACUAUCAUCUACAAACAGUAGGUGGGAAAUUGUUGGCCCUUUUCGACUUGCUCUUACUCUUCUUAGUAAACCAUCAGUUGUCGCCAUUCUUACUAAAGACGAAAGUCCCUCACUGCAAAUUAGAAACAAAAAAGGGCUAAGUGGAUCGCCUUGACGAAGCCCUUGGGUGGGUUUAAGAACAAUUCCUCUUCUUUCAUUGAUGUUGGCUUUGUAGGAGGCUGUGGAGAUACACUUCAUAUUCAAUGACACCCAUUCCUUUGCCUAUCUCAUUCUCAGCAUAACAUCCUUUAGAAAAACCCAUUCAACUCUGUCAUAAGCUUUGCUCAUAUCAAGUUUAAUUGCCAUAAGCCAUUUUUUCCCUAUCCGUUUCUUCCGCAAUGUGUGGAUGAGUUCAUAAGCUAUUAACACGUUAUCUGUAAUAAGCCUUAUUGGAACAAAAGCACUCUGGGCCCUGUCUAUGCUUCUUCCAAUGACCCCUUGAAAACGAUUAGCAAUUGUUUUUGCCACAAUUUUGUAUAGAACUAUGCAUAGGCUGAUAGGUCUGAAAUUAGCUAGACUUGUAGGUUUUGGUAGUUUUGGGAUAAGCAUAAUAUCGGUAAUAUUAACCAAAUCAAAUUUUUUUUUCUUAUUCAGGACUUCCAAAAACAAAAUUUCUCAACAUCAUUACUUACAAUGUGCCAGAAUUUUUGAAAAAAUAGUGUUAGAAAACCAUCAUGACCUGGUGCUUUAGUGGGCCCCAUUCAUUUUAGAGCUGAAAAAACCUCUUCUGCUGUAAAUGGUGUAAGCAACAUUGCAUUUAUAUUAGCUGAAAUACUAGUAUUUAUUCCUUCUAGUAUAUGGGAUAAAUUUCCCACACCCUUCGAUGUGAAUAGAUUUUUGAAAUAAUUUGAAGCAGUUUCAUUAAUUGCCAAUUCAUCAGUGAUUUCCUAUCCUCCAUCAUCUUCCAAUCUAUUAAUAGUGUUUAUUUGUUUAUGUACUGACGCAUACUUAUGAAAAAAGGUUGUGUUCUUAUCCCUUAAUUGAAGCCAGUUAGCUCGUGCCCUUUGUUCCCAAUACAUUUCAUCUUUAUCAAUCUCCAUAUUGAGUUGGAUCCUAGUAUCGAUUAGCUUUUCUAUAGUGGUAUCAUCUCUGUCGCUUGCCAUUAAUUCUUCAAGGUCCUUUGUAAGCCUAUUCUUUAAACCAACUCAUUUUUUCUUUAUUACAUUCGCCCACCUCGCUAGGCUAAAUUGUAUUCUAUCUAGCUUUUCGCCUAUAGAUCCAUCCGAAGACUCCCACGCUCUUCUAAUCUCUUGCUCGAAAGAUUCCUCCAUAAUCCACCAUGCCUCGAAUUUGAAACUUUGACUUCCAUUACUGCUUUUCUCACUAUUAGUACUUAUAAGUAAGGGGCAAUGAUCUGAAAUCGUACGUGUUAAAUGAUGAAUAGUUCUAUUUGGAAAAAGUUGCAUCCAUUUCUUAUUUGCCACACCUCUAUCAAGUCUCUCUUUAAUAUUUGUUUCCAACAAGUUUCCACGCUCCCAUGUGAACCAAACCCCCAUGUACCCUAUGUCCAUUAAUUGACAUUCAUUAAGAACUUCGCGAAAAGCUUCCAUGCUUUUUUCUUCCCUCGAUUGACCACCACUUUUUUCAAAAGAAUACAUUAUUUCAUUUAAAUCACCACAAACUAGUCAAUGAUGAUUUUGAUUUUUACCCAAUUGCCUUAAUAGAUUCCAUAAGGCGUUCUUAUCUUGAACAUAAGGCGAACCAUAGAAUCCAGUAAAUCUCCACUCUUCAUUGACAUUUUCUUCCUUUACCAACACAUCAAUAUGAUUUCUUGAAAAAAUUUUAAGAGCUACAGUAAUUCUUGUUUUCCGCGCCAUACAAAUUCCCCCUUUAGAACCUUCUGCUCCUACAUCAAUUCCAUUCUCAAAACCAUAUCUCCUUCGAAUUUUUUCCAUACACCAUCCAUCAAUUUUGAUCUCCAUAAAGAAAACCAUCUGGGGCUUAUGUUGCUUCAGCAAAUACCGAAGCCUUCGUGUUGGCCGUGGAUUCCCCAAUCCACGGAUAUUCCAGCAUAUGGUUUUCAUUGUGCCUGGUCAGCAUGCCUCUUGGUAGCCGCCGAUCUAUAUUGGUGAAAAUCAUAACUCUGGGAGAAAUAUUCAUCCGACAAAAUUGUAUCGUUUGUAGUUUGGUUUUCUUUGCCAUCAUUGUAACGCCCCUUACCCGAGACCGUUGCCGGAGUCGAGCACAAGGCACUACUAAACUUAUUUGAGCACUUAACCAAAUUUAGAUAAUUUAUAUCAUACUUUUUAGACAAUCUGUCCAACUGCGUCAUAGUUGCUAAAUAAUUCAUAUCUCGAGUUAUAAAACUCGAAACCCAAAUCCGUAAAUUUUCCCUGAAUUUAUACUCAUAUAUCUACUUACCAAUUUUUUUUAUAAUUUUUGGUUGGUCCAAUUAGUACAGUUUAUUAGUUAAAUCUUUCCCUGUUUCAGGGUUUGACUACUUUGACCUCUGUGCACUACGAACUAAAUUUCUCUCUGUACAAAAUUCAAAUAACCAUGCCGUUUUUUUCUCUUAAAAAUAGACCCAAUGAGGAAUCCAUACAUAUACAGUAUGACUCAUAAUUAUUUUUGUGCAAUUUUUAAUGAUUUUCUAAAAUCAGAACAGGGGAACUCGAAGUCAUUCAGAUUUUGUCUCACCACAAUUUAAAUAUCUCAUAACAUAAAAUCCAAUUGCAUGCACCGUUUCCUCUAUAUGAAACUAGACUUAUUAGGCUUUAAUCUCAUUUUUUUUCCAGCCCUUAACUCAAUUUCCACAAUUUAUGGUGAAUUUUCAAAGUCAAACUACUGCUACUUACCAAAAACUGUUUUAGUACAAAUAUUGCUAACUAGUUCAUAACAUCUUUACUUCAAUUCAUUCAAACUCUAUACAUGCCAUAUAAAUCUUUAAACAUAAAACAAAAACUACCAGAAUUGAUCUGAAUAGUGUGCCCUGUUGUGUUGAUCCGAUCUACCCACUUCACUUCAAGUCAAUCUACAUAAAAAUAUUAAACACACACAAGUAAGCUUAUUGAAGCUUAGUAAGCUCAUAGGCAUAUAAACACAAAUCAUAUCAAAUAUCGUACACAAUCAUAUAUCUAUUAGUUUAACUAUUUCAUCCUCCAAAUCACAAUUUCAUUAAUAACUCAUUGGAAUAAUUUCCAUAUGGCUACUCACAAUUUAACUCCCUUAGGCCCAUUUCUCAUUUACUUCAUUGUCAAAUUAAGGAACAAUAAGGGAAUUGAGUGCUUCAUUAUCACAUUGCCAUAGUAAACUAUGGACUUUCACAUUGUUACGCAUCACACACCGAAGCCAUAGCCUUGCCAUGGUCUUACACGGUUCACAUAUCAUACCGAAGCCAUAUCCCAGACAUGGUCUUAUACGGAAUCACAUUAUCACAUUAUACCGAUGCCAUAGCCCAGCUAUGGUCUUAUACGGAGUCACAUUAUCACAUUGCACCGAUGCUAUAGCCCAGCUACGGUCUUAAACGGGCACACUUAUCACAUAUUUUUCGUCAAUUCAUCAGGGUCACAGAAUAGAAGCAUUCAAAUCCAUUGUUCUUACUAAUUUGUACUUUUAGUUACACAUUAUUCAUUAGUUAAUGCAAAUUGAUAAUAUUCAUCAACAAUAAAAUACUUUAACAAUCAUAAGAUUUUCAUAUCAAAACAUUGAACUUUGCCAUAUGAACUUACCUGGACUAAUUUACAAAAGUCGUAGAAAUUCAGGGACUAUUCUUGAAUUUUCUCCUUUCCACGAUUCAGUUCGUUUUCUUGAUCUAUAAUUAUAAAAUAAUUCCUUCAUUAGCAUCCAUUUCAAUUCUAUUUCACUUCACAAUUUAUGCUGUUCAAAUUUCGAAAUACCACUUUUACCCCAAAAUUUACAGUUUUCAUAAUUUAGUCCCUGCUCAAUUCACCCAUCAAUUGAACUAAUUUUUCUCAAUUAACACUUUAUUUUAUCAUUAUAAACUAUUUCAAAACCUUUUAUAUUCUUAAUUUCAACAGAAACCUUCAAUUCACAACUUUUUCACAAUUAGGUCCUAAAUAUCAUUUCCUAUCAAAAUCACUUAAUAAAACCACCUUAAUAUGAAAUUAGAACUUAAAUUUCAUAAUAAUUCAUCAUAAAAUUCCCUUAUCCAUCCAGGGUAACUUCCAAUUUCACCCAUAAAAUCAAAAACUAAUGAAUUCUACAAGUGGACCUAAUUGUAAAAGUCAUAAAAACAUAAAAAUUAUCAAGAAAAGUAAGAAUUAAACUCAAAUGAUGUAAAAAAUGAAAAACCAGCUUUCUCCAGACCUUCUAUGGCGUUUUGGCUGAGAAAAUAUGAAGAAAUGUCUAGAUUUUUCAAUUACAUCAUUAUUUAACUAUUAACUUUUAUGCUAUUUCCAAUUUUGCCUCUUGUUCACAUUGUUUUCUUGCUUAUUUCAUACCCAAACCGUCCAGCCAUUAACUUUUGGGUCUAAUUGCUCUUUAAAUCCAUAUUUUUAAAUACUUAAGCUAUUUACUCACAAUUUAACAAAUUUUGCGCUAUUUUCAAUUUAGUUCUUUUUAAUUAAUUAGCCAUCCAAACAUUAAAAUUUUCUAACGAAACUUUAAUACUAACUCAAUGACACUCCAUAAAUAUUUAUAAAAAUAUUUAUAGCUCGAUUUUCAACUUUGAGGUCUCGAUACCUCAUUUUUGACCCCUUUGACCUAAUAAAUUCUUUUAAUUCACUAAUUUCACCAUUUCACAAAUUCUUCUAAAUUCUUACUUGACUCGUAAAUAUUAAAUUACUAUCUUUUUCAAUCUUAUUUGUCGAAUUUAGUGAUCUCAAAUCACCAUUCCCGACACCACUGAAAAUUAGGCCGUUACAAUCAUACUUCAUUCUUUUUGUUUCAUCUUAACGAGAUAGUUCUAGAUCAUCUCCUUCAAAAGCAACCUCUUCCGCUUUCCUUUUCCUCAAUAUACUUUCGCUAUUAUAAGCAUCCACCCCUCUUUCUAUCUCGAUUCGUUUCCAACUCACUUUCUUUGUUGAUUUCAGAAUUCCUGUAGAGUUUUUAAUUGCCCCAAUCACUUUUUCUUUAGCAUCUAUUUUAUCCUCCUGUAUCUUCAACGCUAGCUUUUUCUCAGUGUUUUGUGAAUUAGCUUGGGACAGAAUAUUAUUUUCCUCCACUUGUAAAUUUAAUUCAGGAAAAAUCUCAGUAUUUCCUACGUAUAAACAUUGGGGUUGCAUCUUUUUUGAACUGGCAUUAAACACGACUCUCUCUUCCAAUUAAUUUUAAUUCUGCUUUCAAAGCUAAUGAAAACGGAGGAUCAAUUCUGAUUUUGUUUCUUUCUUUAGGUGAAAACUCUUGGCAAUCCAUGAGCCCAUGCCCAAUCCUUCCACAACCGAAACAGAAUGUAGGUAAUUUUUCAUAUUUAAAAGGAGUCCAGAACUUAUUUUGAUUUUAUGUUGAGACGAAAAUACCCUUUCGCAAGGGUUUUUGUACAUCUAGCUUGACUCUCAGUCGACAGAAUUCUCCAUUUAUUUCGGAUCUGAAGAUGGCUCCAA
rnacentral:lncRNA from 1 species